rnacentral:misc_RNA from 1 species
GAAGAAGAACGCAGUGAAAUGCGAUACGUAAUGUGAAUUGCAGAAUUCAGUGAAUCAUCGAGUCUUUGAACGCACAUUGCGCCCCCUGGUAUUCCGGGGGGCAUGCCUGUCCGAGCGUCAUUGCUGCCCUCAAGCACGGCUUGUGUGUUGGGCCUCCGUCCUCCUCCCGGGGGACGGGCCCGAAAGGCAGCGGCGGCACCGCGUCCGGUCCUCGAGCGUAUGGGGCUUCGUCACCCGCUCUUGUAGGCCCGGCCGGCGCUUGCCGACACAUCAAUCUUUUUUCCAGGUUGACCUCGGAUCAGGUAGGGAUACCCGCUGAACUUAAGCAUAUCAAUAAGCGGAGGA